GAUGAACGCUGGCGGCGUGCCUAAUACAUGCAAGUCGAGCGAACGGACGAGAAGCUUGCUUCUCUGAUGUUAGCGGCGGACGGGUGAGUAACACGUGGAUAACCUACCUAUAAGACUGGGAUAACUUCGGGAAACCGGAGCUAAUACCGGAUAAUAUUAUGAACCGCAUGGUUCAAAAGUGAAAGACGGUCUUGCUGUCACUUAUAGAUGGAUCCGCGCUGCAUUAGCUAGUUGGUAAGGUAACGGCUUACCAAGGCAACGAUGCAUAGCCGACCUGAGAGGGUGAUCGGCCACACUGGAACUGAGACACGGUCCAGACUCCUACGGGAGGCAGCAGGAGGGAAUCUUCCGCAAUGGGCGAAAGCCUGACGGAGCAACGCCGCGUGAGUGAUGAAGGUCUUCGGAUCGUAAAACUCUGUUAUUAGGGAAGAACAUAUGUGUAAGUAACUGUGCACAUCUUGACGGUACCUAAUCAGAAAGCCACGGCUAACUACGU
rnacentral:rRNA from 1 species